UUUGAUGUGAAUUGAUUUAUGUUUGGAUACACUUUUUUAAAAAUGAUUUUUAUGAGUUGAUGUUGUUUGGAUAG
rnacentral:pre_miRNA from 1 species